AUUGAACGCUGGCGGCAUGCCUUACACAUGCAAGUCGAACGGCAGCACGGGAGCAAUCCUGGUGGCGAGUGGCGAACGAGUGAGUAAUAUAUCGGAACGUGCCCAGUCGUGGGGGAUAACGUAGCGAAAGCUACGCUAAUACCGCAUACGAUCUAUGGAUGAAAGCGGGGGAUCGCAAGACCUCGCGCGAUUGGAGCGGCCGAUAUCAGAUUAGGUAGUUGGUGAGGUAAAGGACUCACCAAGCCGACGAUCUGUAGCUGGUCUGAGAGGACGACCAGCCACACUGGGACUGAGACACGGCCCAGACUCCUACGGGAGGCAGCAGUGGGGGAAUUUUUGGGACAAUGGGCGCAAGCCUGAUCCAGCAAUGCCGCGUGCAGGA
rnacentral:rRNA from 1 species